GACGAACGCUGGCGGCGUGCUUAACACAUGCAAGUCGAACGGAAAGGCCCUGCUUUUGUGGGGUGCUCGAUUGGCGAACGGGUGAGUAACACGUGAGUAACCUGCCCUUGACUUUGGGAUAACUUCAGGAAACUGGGGCUAAUACCGGAUAGGAGCUCCUGCUGCAUGUGGGGGGUUGGAAAGUUUCGGCGGUUGGGGAUGGACUCGCGGCUUAUCAGCUUGUUGGUGGGGUAGUGGCUUACCAAGGCUUUGACGGGUAGCCGGCCUGAGAGCGUGACCGGCCACAUUGGGACUGCGGUACGGCCCAGACUCCUACGGGAGGCAGCAGUGGGGAAUUUUGCACAAUGGGCGGAAGCCUGAUGCAGCAACGCCGCGUGCGGGAUGACGGCCUUCGGGUUGUAAACCGCUUUCGCCUGUGACGAAGCGUGAGUGACGGUAAUGGGUAAAGAAGCACCGGCUAACUACGUG
rnacentral:rRNA from 1 species